rnacentral:lncRNA from 1 species
UUUCAAAACUAGGUUUGUCCUCAGUGCAGUGUCCAGAAACACUUUUUUUUUGUAAUGUUAUUUAUGAUUCUAAAUCUGCACACUAAAUCUGAGAAUGGGACAAUGUUAGGUGAUAAAGGAUUUAGAUGACUCUUGUGUUGACCUGCUCAGCUGUCAUUUUUCUGAUGUUUCUCUUCCUUGUCUUUAUUGGUGAUGGAGAAGGGAGGGCUGGGUGGGGAGUCUUGUCCUGUCAUUGUGUCAUCUGAGGCUUCCUGAACUUGGGAAGUUUAUUUAUAUAGGAAAACUUCCCACCAUAUUCAGCAUGUUCAAAAGAGGAUUAUUUUUGUAAAACUAUUAAAGAUUUUGCUUUUCUCAAGAGUAUUUCAUAUCUUUGAAUUCAAAUUACUUUUAAAACAUCAUUGUUUUUAACAAAAAAGCAAAUGAUUGCUACUUGUUAUUUCAUAUAUAUAACAUCAAAUUAUUGAUAUACAUGUGAGUUUAGUGUUUUUGAUGGUAAAAAGAGUCCAUUAAAAGUCUUGACAUUUUGCUGUUUUCUUACCCUUGAUGUGAAAUACUGAUCUCUGCUACUACAAGUGGGUUGUCUAUAUGAACCUUGUCUUGGCAACAGUUCCCACAGGUCAGUGAGGACCUUCUGCAACUUUAUAUUUUUUGGGUGUUCUGUCAUGUAGUACAGACUUCAAAGUCAGACUACUUGGGUUCAGAAUUCUUUGCCGAUAUUUAAUUAUAUUUCAUCUGUUUUUAUAUAUUUCAUUAAAUAGAGGUAAUAGGAAUAUUUGGCUUAUUAGGCUUUCACUAGUAAUCCGUAACCAUUGUCAUGUAGGAGGAUGUUUGUAAUCUUGAACAAACAUUAGUCCUUGUCUUUGUUCUUUUUCAGUUAUCACUGACCUCAGGGACUUGCCAGCAUCUAAUGUCAUUGUUCUUAGUGAUCAUUUCUAUCAUUAAUAGAAGCUUUGGAGAUGGCUUGUGUAGACUUGGAAUGUGGUUUUAUGUCUUGUAAAAUGCUUUUUAAGCAGGAGCUUCUGAAAUGAUAACUUUUGAGGGCUGAAGCACAGGAGCCUUGGCAUACAUUGAGGCCAGCCUGGGCUAGGGAGAGACCUUGAUUCAGAAAACAAAAGGGGAAAAUGAUUAUAUAACUUCAAGAAGAAUGCUUGAGAUUGAUGUUGAUUUUUCAAGCUUUUUAAAUUUUAAUCUCUGUUGCCAUAGUUUUGUAUUAUGACAAAGUACUUGAAAAAAAAUUAAUGAGGAGGGACUUUCUUUUAGCGCAAACUUUUAUGAAGUGAGAUUUCAGUUCAUGGCCAUUUUUGAAUUGCUUUUGGGCCCAUGUCUAACCAGAACCCCAUGACAUGGAGCCUGUAAUAGAGCCUAGUGACUCAAUCUUAUGGCAGAGGAAAUAGAGAACAAAGGAACAGGUACAAGUUAAAAUAAAAUACACCCCUCUUGACCUGUUUCCUCCUGCCAGAAACCAUCUUCUAAUGGCUGUGAACUUGCAGUGGAUUAAUUCAUUGGUUGUACCAUCUUUAUGACCUAGUCACCUUUUUCUGUAGCACCAUCACCAGUUUCAAGUCUUCAACGUACACUAGCCUUUUGGACUGUUUUAUAUCCAAACUACAAUACUCUCCGUAUCUAUAUUUUUCAAACUGGUUAUAGUAGUAUUUUCUAUCUUGCCUUAUGUUUUUCUGAAAGUAUUGCAUUUUCUGUGUUAGUAGCAUGCAAACAUAGCAUAUUGAGACCCAAGUUUAAACUCCAACUUAAAAAAAAAAGUAUUAUGCAGGACUUGGCAGUGCCUCUGAUCAUAAUUCUAAACCUUGAUUGAGAUAAAUUAUGUGUAAACGUUCUGUAUCACCUGUAAAGAACUAAAUAAAUGUAAUAUUUGUUGUUAAUUCAUUUUAGGUGUUAAAAGUAUAUAUUCUAUGCUAACCAAUAUAGUUAGAUUCUACAUAAUGUGUUUGUGUUUUUGUUUUUUCUGGUUGCAUUUCUGAUCCGAAGGUGUUUUGUUUAUGUACCUUUCUUUGAAGAUGGGAUGAGAAUGGACAUAAUAGUAUUAGGAGCAGUUAAGAUUUUAUUAUAACAUGAUCAUUUUUGAUA